rnacentral:rRNA from 1 species
AUUGAACGCUGGCGGCGGGCUUAACACAUGCAAGUCGAGCGGAGAUGAGGUGCUUGCACCUUAUCUUAGCGGCGGACGGGUGAGUAAUGCUUAGGAAUCUGCCUAUUAGUGGGGGACAACAUUCCGAAAGGAAUGCUAAUACCGCAUACGUCCUACGGGAGAAAGCAGGGGAUCUUCGGACCUUGCGCUAAUAGAUGAGCCUAAGUCGGAUUAGCUAGCUGGUGGGGUAAAGGCCUACCAAGGCGACGAUCUGUAGCGGGUCUGAGAGGAUGAUCCGCCACACUGGGACUGAGACACGGCCCAGACUCCUACGGGAGGCAGCAGUGGGGAAUAUUGGACAAUGGGGGGAACCCUGAUCCAGCCAUGCCGCGUGUGUGAAGAAGGCCUUAUGGUUGUAAAGCACUUUAAGCGAGGAGGAGGCUACUGAGACUAAUACUCUUGGAUAGUGGACGUUACUCGCAGAAUAAGCACCGGCUAACUCUGUGCCAGCAGCCGCGGUAAAAC